rnacentral:rRNA from 1 species
GGGGUGUUAGGGCACGACACCGGAGAGGGAGCCUGAGAAACGGCUACCACAUCCAAGGAAGGCAGCAGGCGCGCAAAUUACCCAAUCCCGACAUGGGGAGGUAGUGACAAUAAAUAACAAUACAGGGUUCUUUUGGAUCUUGUAAUUGGAAUGAGUACAAUUUAAAUCUCUUAACGAGGAACAAUUGGAGGGCAAGUCUGGUGCCAGCAGCCGCGGUAAUUCCAGCUCCAAUAGCGUAUAUUAAAGUUGUUGCAGUUAAAAAGCUCGUAGUUGAAUUUCGGGAUCAAGGAAUCGGUCAUGCCUCGGUAUGUACUGGUUUUAUUGGUUCUCACCUUCUAAAGAACCAUAAUGUCAUUCAUUUGAUGUUAUGGGGAAUUAGGACUGUUACCUUGAAAAAAUUAGAGUGUUUAAAGCAGGCUUACGCUUGAAUACAUUAGCAUGGAAUAAUGAAAUAGGACAUCAGAUUCUAUUUUGUUGGUUUCUAGGAUCGAUGUAAUGAUUAAUAGGGAUAGUUGGGGGCAUUAGUAUUCAAUUGUCAGAGGUGAAAUUCUUGGAUUUAUUGAAGACUAACUACUGCGAAAGCAUUUGCCAAGGAUGUUUUCAUUAAUCAAGAACGAAAGUUAGGGGAUCGAAGACGAUCAGAUACCGUCGUAG